CCUACACCGUGCACAUUGGAUGUGAUUAUGGAGGAAGAGGAGGAAGAGCCGUCCACAGCCCCCACUCCUACACCAUGCACAUUGGGUGUGAUUAUGGAGGAAGAGGAGGAAGAGCCGUCCACAGCCCCCACACCUACACCAUGCACAUUGGGUGUGAUUAUGGAGGAAGAGACAUCCACAUCCCCCACUCCUACACCGUGCACAUUGGGUGUGAUUAUGGAGGAAGAGGAGGAAGAGCCGUCCACAGCCCCCACUCCUACACCAUGCACAUUGGGUGUGAUUAUGGAGGAAGAGGAGGAAGAGCCGUCCACAGCCCCCACUCCUACACCAUGCACAUUGGGUGUGAUUAUGGAGGAAGAGGAGGAAGAGACAUCCACAGCCCUCACUCGUACACCUCGCACAUUGGGAGUGAUUAUGGAGGAAGAGACGUCCACAUCCCCCACUCCUACACCUCACACAUUGGGUGUGAUUAUGGAGGAAGAGGAGGAAAAGACGUCCACAGCCCCCACACCUACACCUUGCACAUUGGGUGUGAUUAUGGAGGAAGAGGCAGAAGAGACCCCCACAGUCCCAACUCCUACACCUCUCACAGGGGGUGAGAUUAUGGAGAAAUAGGAGGCAGAGACACCCACAGUCCCAGCUCCUACACCUUUAACGUGGGCUGAUAUAGUGAAAAAGUUUGCGAGUCCGACUGAGGAGGUUAAAAAGAAGAAGCUCAGAGAGUUCAAGAAGACGCAGGCUUCCAGCCAGUGGCUGCCAGAUCAACCAGUGGCUGCCGAAACCAAGAAGUUCCCCGUGGACAAGUCUCACCACAACAAAAACACCAAGGUGAUGAUGGAGAAUGGCUGCUUGAAAGGAUUUGGCUUCAUUCAUUUUUCAUCUUCAACGGAAGCCAUGGUGGCCAUUAAAGGAGUGAAUGGGAAAAUGUUGGGCAAGAAGCUGGUGCAUGUAGCUCUCUCUAAGAGCAGAGAGGAGCGCAAGCCUUACCUCGCCCAGGAAGUGCAGAGGGCGUUCAGCAAUAUUAUUGAAUGUGUCUAUUCUUAAUAAAUAAAGCACAUUUAGAGACAAUACUUUUGAAUGCAAUAUUAUGAUCUAGAAUAAUGCAAUAAUAAUACAGUUUUGCAAUAAAUUUAUAUACCAAG
ensembl:lncRNA